rnacentral:rRNA from 1 species
AGAGUUUGAUCCUGGCUCAGAUUGAACGCUGGCGGCAUGCCUUACACAUGCAAGUCGAACGGCAGCACGGGAGCAAUCCUGGUGGCGAGUGGCGAACGGGUGAGUAAUACAUCGGAACGUGCCCAGUCGUGGGGGAUAACGUAGCGAAAGCUACGCUAAUACCGCAUACGAUCUGUGGAUGAAAGCGGGGGACCGUAAGGCCUCGCGCGAUUGGAGCGGCCGAUGUCAGAUUAGGUAGUUGGUGGGGUAAAGGCUCACCAAGCCGACGAUCUGUAGCUGGUCUGAGAGGACGACCAGCCACACUGGGACUGAGACACGGCCCAGACUCCUACGGGAGGCAGCAGUGGGGAAUUUUGGACAAUGGGCGCAAGCCUGAUCCAGCAAUGCCGCGUGCAGGAUGAAGGCCUUCGGGUUGUAAACUGCUUUUGUACGGAACGAAACGGCUCUUUCUAAUAAAGAGGGCUAAUGACGGUACCGUAAGAAUAAGCACCGGCUAACUACGUGCCAGCAGCCGCGGUAAUACGUAGGGUGCAAGCGUUAAUCGGAAUUACUGGGCGUAAAGCGUGCGCAGGCGGUUAUGUAAGACAGAUGUGAAAUCCCCGGGCUCAACCUGGGACCUGCAUUUGUGACUGCAUAGCUAGAGUACGGUAGAGGGGGAUGGAAUUCCGCGUGUAGCAGUGAAAUGCGUAGAUAUGCGGAGGAACACCGAUGGCGAAGGCAAUCCCCUGGACCUGUACUGACGCUCAUGCACGAAAGCGUGGGGAGCAAACAGGAUUAGAUACCCUGGUAGUCCACGCCCUAAACGAUGUCAACUGGUUGUUGGGUCUUCACUGACUCAGUAACGAAGCUAACGCGUGAAGUUGACCGCCUGGGGAGUACGGCCGCAAGGUUGAAACUCGAAGGAAUUGACGGGGACCCGCACAAGCGGUGGAUGAUGUGGUUUAAUUCGAUGCAACGCGAAAAACCUUACCCACCUUUGACAUGUACGGAAUUUGCCAGAGAUGGCUUAGUGCUCGAAAGAGAGCCGUAACACAGGUGCUGCAUGGCUGUCGUCAGCUCGUGUCGUGAGAUGUUGGGUUAAGUCCCGCAACGAGCGCAACCCUUGUCAUUAGUUGCUACGAAAGGGCACUCUAAUGAGACUGCCGGUGACAAACCGGAGGAAGGUGGGGAUGACGUCAAGUCCUCAUGGCCCUUAUAGGUGGGGCUACACACGUCAUACAAUGGCUGGUACAGAGGGUUGCCAACCCGCGAGGGGGAGCUAAUCCCAUAAAACCAGUCGUAGUCCGGAUCGCAGUCUGCAACUCGACUGCGUGAAGUCGGAAUCGCUAGUAAUCGCGGAUCAGAAUGUCGCGGUGAAUACGUUCCCGGGUCUUGUACACACCGCCCGUCACACCAUGGGAGCGGGUUCUGCCAGAAGUAGUUAGCCUAACCGCAAGGAGGGCGAUUACCACGGCAGGGUUCGUGACUGGGGUGAAGUCGUAACAAGGUA